GGUCAGCACUUUGGCAAUAUAGGGGAUCAGAGGCAGAUUCAAAAUCAGCAGAACCACAUUGCCGAUAUACAUCGAAAUUAUCACAGACCAGAAAAUUUCCGGCUGAUCCUGCAUCAGGCGCGGUCC
rnacentral:ncRNA from 1 species